rnacentral:lncRNA from 1 species
AACUAGUUGAAAGUUUUAUUUUUAUAAAAUUAACAUAAAAGAUUGUUUAAAAAUCUGCAGUUAUUUACAGCAGUAUUGCACAAGUAAAGUGGCAAUUACCCUGUCAAAAUUCACACACAGGCACCAGGCUAAAUCAGCAGGGAUGGCAGAACCACCUGCAUGGAACCACCAUGAAGUCUCCUUAAAGCUCCCAUAAGCUUUCACAUCUUGACACCCAGUCCAGUGGGGCCCCAACCUCCCCUGAAGGAGAUGGAGUAUCAGAAGGAGGGCAUCGACCUGAAGAAGCAGGCUGACCAAAUGCAGUGACCGUAUGGGUGGGGCGUGGGGAGGGCUGUACAGUUAAUUAGCUCCUGAAGACAAGUUAGUCCAACCUCAAAGCACAGGAAGUUGCACAGCAGGUGGGGGAAAACCCAGCUACUCACAGUUGUCCACAAGGGGUUAGUGGCCUGAGGUGGUCCUUAGGCAGGAGCCACCUGUCCCACCCAUUCACUUGUCCUGCCUGGCCCUAGCCCUGAACAACUGCAAUGCAGCACCUCUGGAAGUGGCACAUUUUAUUUCUUUUCUAAACGCUGAGUUGUCAGGGAUAAAUUUUCAAUAGAAAAAUCUUUCCCACCUGCUGAUAAUACUUUGGUUUUUUUGUUUUCCUAAAGAUAAAGCCUGGAGUCAGCAAAAUUUGCUUGCAUGAUAAGCUAGUUGCUUUGGAACAAACAGAAGGUUGCUGGGUAUUUCUUGGAGUAGAAUUUUGUAGCCUGCCAGACUGAGUUUCUCACUGGCAUCAAACACACACUUCAUCAUAAGGGCGGCAAAGCCCAAGAAUUGAAACCCACUUGACUGGAAAUACCAGGACCCGAAGGUGGAGAGCCACCCUGGAGGACCACGUGGUCUGCAAUGAGCUCUCCAGUCACCCCCGACAACUCUCAGGAGUUAACUUCAUGGGACGGCAGGGGAGUGGGAGACAGGGAUGUUAAUACUUUUCAGAAAUUAAGACAUUAAAUAAGCAGAAAAUAAAUAUACAAUAUUUCUACAAGUUACAGCAUUAUGAAACAGUAGGACACAUCACACAGAAAAAGAAUCUACAAUAUUUACAAUCCUUGAUUUUGAAAAAGUUGAGAAAAACAGUGAUUUUUUUACUUAUUUAUGCUGUACAAAAUUUUACAAGGUAAAGGA